GUUACAAACAACUACUUGAUGUGAAAAUAGUUAUUAACAAGCGUUACAAGCCUCGACAAGCACAACGCAAAAGUACAAACUUUAAAAUAAAAUAUUAAUAUUCUAUCAGUUUUUCUGUCCGAUCUCAAUGUCAUAGACAUAAUUGCCAUUGUCACUCUGAAAUAUAUAUAGAAAAAUCAUCUAACCCCCUUAUAUAAUUAGCCAUACUGCUUGUUUAAUUGUUAUUGGUUAGUUUAUUGGC